rnacentral:rRNA from 1 species
AGAGUUUGAUCCUGGCUCAGGAUGAACGCUAGCUACAGGCUUAACACAUGCAAGUCGAGGGGCAGCAUAACGAAAGCUUGCUUUUGUUGAUGGCGACCGGCGCACGGGUGAGUAACGCGUAUCCAACCUUCCCUAUAGUAGAGGAUAGCCCGGCGAAAGUCGGAUUAAUACUCUAUGUUGUAUUUAGAAGACAUCUGAAGAAUACCAAAGGUUUACCGCUAUAGGAUGGGGAUGCGUCUGAUUAGCUUGUUGGCGGGGUAACGGCCCACCAAGGCGACGAUCAGUAGGGGUUCUGAGAGGAAGGUCCCCCACAUUGGAACUGAGCCAUGAUCAAACUC